CGGAUAAAAGCUACCCUGGGGAUAACAGGCUUAUCACUCCCAAGAGUUCACAUCGACGGAGUGGUUUGGCACCUCGAUGUCGGCUCAUCGCAUCCUGGAGCUGUAGCAGGUUCCAAGGGUUGGGCUGUUCGCCCAUUAAAGCGGUACGCGAGCUGGGUUCAGAACGUCGUGAGACAGUUCGGUCCCUAUCCGGCGCGGGCGGAGGAUAUUUGAGAGGAGCUGUCCUUAGUACGAGAGGACCGGGAUGGACGGACCGCUGGUGUACCUGUUGUAUUACCAAAUGCACGGCAGGGUAGCCAAGUCCGGAAGGGAUAAACGCUGAAGGCAUCUAAGCGUGAAGCCCCCCUCAAGAUAAGAUAUGCCAUUUUUAGGAAGUAAGACCCCUUGAAGACUACGAGGUAGAUAGGUCCGGGGUGUAAGUGCAGCAAUGCAUUCAGCUGACGGAUACUAAUAGGUCGAGGGCUUAUCCU
rnacentral:rRNA from 1 species